AUUGAACGCUGGCGGCAGGCCUAACACAUGCAAGUCGAGCGAGCGGCGGACGGGUGAGUAAUGUAUGGGGACUGCCCGAUAGAGGGGGAUAACUACUGGAAACGGUAGCUAAUACCGCAUACUAUCGGGUUACCCAUAUGGGAUUAGCUAGUAGGUGAGGUAAUGGCUCACCUAGGCGACGAUCCCUAGCUGGACUGAGAGGAAGAUCAGCCACACUGGGAGUGAGACACGGCCCAGACUCCGACGGAGGCAGCAGGGGGGAAUAUUGCACAAUGGGCGCAAGCCUGAUGCAGCCAUGCCGCGUGUAUGAAGAAGGCCUUAGGGUUGUAAAGUACUUUCAGUCGGGAGGCGUUACCGACAGAAGAAGCCCCGGCUAACUCCGUGCCAGCCGCCGCGGUAAUUC
rnacentral:rRNA from 1 species